AUGGAGUGUUCCCUGAAGACCUGCUUUCUUCCACUUCCUAAAUAACGUCUUUGGGAAUGGAGGUCUCCAGAACUGAAGGCAUGUGAAGCUGUGAGUUCACGGAGAUGGAUUCCAGAAGGGGAGAGAAGGCAGAGUAUGAAGAGAAGCAGCAUUCACUAAGACCUGUCACUGCAAUCGGCAGACUUGGAUACACGUGAGAGCGAAUGAAGCACAGCGUGACUGAAACAUCCUUACCUGGCGUCCUCCUCGCCGUUGUAAUCUCACUUCUCAAUGAC